rnacentral:rRNA from 1 species
UUUGCCAGGGAACUACGAGCCACAGCUUAAAACCCAAAGGACUUGGCGGUGCUUUAGACCCCCCUAGAGGAGCCUGUUCUAGAACCGAUAACCCCCGUUUAACCUCACCUUCUCUUGUACAUUCCGCCUAUAUACCGCCGUCGUCAGCUUACCCUGUGAAGGGCCAAAAGUAAGCACAAUUGGUAGUACCUAAAACGCCAGGUCGAGGUGUAGCCUACGAGAAGGGAAGAAAUGGGCUACAUUCACUGCCCCAGUGAAUACGGAUGAUGGAUUGAAACAAACAUCUAAAGGAGGAUUUAGCAGUAAGGGAUGAAUUAGAGUAUCCCCCUGAAACUGGCCCUGAAGCGCGCACACACCGCCCGUCACUCUCCCCAAACAUAAGCCCAAAAAUAAAUAAACAACCAUAAAAACAAAGGGGAGGCAAGUCGUAACAUGGUAAGUGUACUGGAAAGUGCACUUGGAAAAA